rnacentral:rRNA from 1 species
GAUGAACGCUGGCGGCGUGCCUAAUACAUGCAAGUCGAGCGAACGGACGAGGAGCUUGCUCCUCUGAUGUUAGCGGCGGACGGGUGAGUAACACGUGGAUAACCUACCUAUAAGACUGGGAUAACUUCGGGAAACCGGAGCUAAUACCGGAUAAUAUUUUGAACCGCAUGGUUCAAUAGUGAAAGACGGUUUUGCUGUCACUUAUAGAUGGAUCCGCGCCGCAUUAGCUAGUUGGUAAGGUAACGGCUUACCAAGGCAACGAUGCAUAGCCGACCUGAGAUGGUGAUCGGCCACACUGGAACUGAGACACGGUCCAGACUCCUACGGGAGGCAGCAGUAGGGAAUCUUCCGCAAUGGGCGAAAGCCUGACGGAGCAACGCCGCGUGAGUGAUGAAGGUCUUCGGAUCGUAAAACUCUGUUAUUAGGGAAGAACAAAUGUGUAAGUAACUAUGCACGUCUUGACGGUACCUAAUCAGAAAGCCACGGCUAACUACGUG